rnacentral:rRNA from 1 species
UACGUAGGGUGCAAGCGUUAAUCGGAAUUACUGGGCGUAAAGUGUGCGCAGGCGGCCAUGCAAGUCGAGUGUGAAAGCCCCGGGCUCAACCUGGGAAUUGCAUUUGAGACUGUGUAGCUAGGGUGCGGAAGAGGGAAGCGGAAUUUCCGGUGUAGCGGUGAAAUGCGUAGAUAUCGGAAGGAACACCAGUGGCGAAAGCGGCUUCCUGGUCCAGCACCGACGUCAGGCACGAAAGCGUGGGGAGCAAACAGG